UUAGUGGCGAACGGGUGAGUAACACGUGAGCAACGUGCCCAAGACUCUGGAAUAACUUCGGGAAACCGGAGCUAAUACUGGAUACGAGACGUAAAGGCAUCUUUAGCGUCUGGAAAGAAUUUCGGUCUUGGAUCGGCUCACGGCCUAUCAGCUUGUUGGUGAGGUAAUGGCUCACCAAGGCGACGACGGGUAGCUGGCCUGAGAGGGUGACCGGCCACACUGGGACUGAGACACGGCCCAG
rnacentral:rRNA from 1 species